UCAGUACAUUGAUAUGAAGACAAAUUAAUGUGUUUGAAUGUGAUAAGCUUUACAUAUUGUCAUUACGUUUUCUUUAAUACAGUUCUAACCAUUUUGCACUUACUUUCUGGCUCCGGUUGUUCAUUGUGUCCAUCUCUUCAUUCAUAACCUCUCCUUACGAACCUAGCUUUAACCUGAAAAUAUUUACCUACUGCUAAGUGACCCUUUAGGUGGGUUACAAUCAUCAUAUACGUGACUAUCCUCAACUGAUACUUUGCUUUGGGCCUCUUAUUCGCUCUUGGACCCUUAGGUUUGAGAGUAAACACACACACAUUUUAAACAGUGUGCUCGCAAAUUACACAACUUCAAGAAUUUGUGAUCUGUUGAUUAUUUAGGCCUCCAACUACGUAGCUCUGUGGCUGUACACAAUGUCACCGUUAAAGGCACAAGCUACAAAAAAAGCCACGUGUGUUGUCUUUGAGAAGAAUGAUGAGGGACUAGUCUUUGGCAAGAUAGAACUGAUUCUUGUUUGCAACAGUUGUGUUUACUUUGUCACAGAGAAAUGCCAGUCUGAUUUCCUUUUGAUCAGGGGAUUUACUGCCUAAAGAUGGGCUCAGAGAACCCCAUUUCAAAUUAUUUCUGCCUCGAACAUGCAAGCCUGCUUGACUAUUACCCUUUGCCUGUGUACAACAUGUUUGGUCUGUCUCUAAUAGCCACUCCUUUCCUUCAGAAUGUCUGAUAUAAGUGAGAGCAUCAAGGACGCAGUCCUUUCUGUCCUGCCAAGUGUGCCAGAAGAAACGAUCUUACACCAGGGAGUAGAAAGCAAAGAUGACUUGCAGUACAUAAGAGAACAGGAAAUUGCAGAGGUUAAUCGACCAAUCCAGUGCAGAAAACAUUUAAAUGCAUGGAAAUGAGCAGAUGCUAUAAGUUGUGCUACCCCCCUACUCCAGUCCCCAGAAGGCAGUUCAUCGCUGUCAAGCUCCUUGAGAUCCAGUAGCCCUUCACCAUCACAUUCCAUUCGGCCACCAGUAAAGCAAAAAUGGCCAGAAACGUUCCAGGUACCCCAGGCAACCCUGUACUUUGAGUAUUUUUUGUUGCAGCUGGCUAGAGUGUCGCCGGAUUGCGCAGGUAGGCUACGUGCGUUUCGAAUUCAUCAAACUAGUUAGUAUCAUAACGGCCAAUCAUUCACCAGCGAUAGCUUAGUAUGAAAGCAUGUUUACAUGUCAGUAUUGUGGUCACCAAUGCUUAACGAAGUAUGCGUUUGUUAGGCAUAUGAAAGUACAUGCGAGUCUUCCAACCGCGUUGUUUAAAUGCGCCUUUUUUGAUU